AGGAGGAUGAGGAGAGUGACGCAGAUACAGAUUUUGCGGUUGCGUUUUCUUCGUUUUUUACCGCCGUUAGCAGCAGAUUGCGUUUCCAUGGCAGCGUUUGUCUUGGGGGCUUCUGAUGCUAACAUGGGUGCUGCUUUCUUGUUAUACAAGGCGGAGGAAUGGGGUUUUGACUACGACGGCCAUGAAUCUGGGGUCUGAGUAUGUCGUAGUCCUCUACCAAGUCCUUUAUGAUUAAUGUAUAAAUCUUUUGGAUACACAUUUUUGUGGUUUAUGUUUUGCAGAUUUAACCAGGUUUUGUGCUUCUAAUGGAACAUAAAUUCUUGUGUUUUGGAGGAUUUAUGUAUGAAACUGUUAUGAGUGAUUUUCCCAGAGAGAUAGUUUCUUUCACAUUGUUAUAUGAUUUCAUUAUAAGAUUUGACAUGUUCAUAGGCCGUAAUAACACCAUUUUGAAAAUGUUUCAGAUUGUUGGAUCUGGGAACAUGAUCAAGAGCUUACAUAGGAGGGCUCUUUUCCCACGGGCUGUGAGCCACAGCAUCUCACUUCUUUGGAGACGAAUCUAUUCUCAAGUGGUAUGAUCAGAUUCUACAAUGACCAUAGAGAUAUGAGGCUUGACAUGACCAGACGUUUUUCUGAGAAGCUUGUGAUGCUUGAUCUCUCAUACAAUAGGUUCUGAGAUAUGAGGCUUGAGCCACAAUGGGUUUUUCUGGUUGUCUCCCUAGCAGAAUUUCUGAAACGAUUGACAAACUGGUUCUGAUUCUUCUUGAUCUCUCAUACAAAGGUUCUCUGGUGAUAUAAACCUCUCUAUUGCACGAAACAAAUUCUGUGGAACACUUCUUCUUGGUUGUUCAAGUUCGAGAAGAUGCAGAUGGUUAAUUCUUCCAGCACAAGAUUCUCUUAGUUUAUAUUGGACGAUAACUUAAACAGCACCCACUUGGCCUUCAAAGUUUUUCAGACAGCUGUAUCUUCAGGGCCACCACGGAAAGUAGAAAUUAAGAUAUCAGCAAAUGUUGUUGCUAAAGACGAACUAACCUUCAGCUACAAUCUGUUGUCAAUUGUUGGAAUCAUCAGAAACUAGGGUGAUCUUGCAAACAUUGAUGCUUCAAAAGAGGAAAUAUAUCAAAACGAUUUACAGCUUUAAUUUUAAAAAUAUUUGUAUACACAAUCUAUAUUAAAUCCAUAACUUAUACUGAGAUGUUUUAAAAAUAA